CCCCAUCCUUCAGCAAGGAGUUUAUAAUAUUCUUCCCUCUGGAAGUCUCUCCGCUUCCUGCUACCCUGUUUUCCAGAAUGAUUAUUCCCCCGCGGCGUAAGCACAAGUGGUGUGUGUAUGGGGGGCAGGUGCACCUCAACAUCUGUCACAUUCCCUCUAGACAGAGAAGGACUCUAGUCUAAUGAGGACUGAAGCCAAACUCAGGUCAAAUACAUUUAUGCCUGGGACGGAGGCUCUGUCUCCGAUGGGAUGUGUGAGAUCCACAAAGGGUUGCAGAACGUCCGUGCUAAACAGGGAGAAGAAAUGUAAAUACAACCAACUACGCAGGCAUCAUGAAAAAUCUUCAGCAUCAUGUAUUUUGUCAAAGAUGCAGGAUCAGAGUGGACAGAAAGUUAGCUAUGGCUCAAGUGGUUAUUAACAGAAAUGUAUGAUAUUAGAAGGUGCACAGAAACCUGGAGUCAUUCUUGCAGUGUGCUCAGACUGCCAGGGAAACAUUCAGGUCCUCGUGCCAGGAGGUGGCAGGGAGCAGAAGAGAUGACUCACUUAGAAUUGGAAUUGCACUAUAAUUCCAGAAUGUCCCAUAUCUGUGGCCAUGUUCAAUUCAGUGAAAAUUUAUACCGUGAUGGGGUUUCCACUACAGCAUCAAAUGCAAGUGAUUUCCAAAUGUACAUUUGGAAUGUUUUUUUCUCCCUUCUGCAUUAAAAUGUCUUCUAUUUUCUAUUUCAGACAUCAAGCCAUGGCAACUGGGGAUCCUGGGGGUCCUGGGGCCAGUGUUCUCGCUCAUGUGGGGGAGGAGUACAGUUUGCUUAUCGGCACUGCAAUAACCCUGCACCCAGAAACAGUGGCCGCUACUGCACAGGGAAGAGGGCCAUCUACCGCUCCUGCAACGUCAUGCCCUGCCCACCUAACGGUAAAUCUUUUCGUCAUGAGCAGUGUGAGGCCAAAAAUGGGUAUCAGUCUGAUGCAAAAGGAGUCAAAACGUUUGUGGAAUGGGUUCCCAAAUAUGCAGGGGUCCUGCUGGGGGACGUGUGCAAACUGACCUGCAGAGCUAAGGGCACCGGUUACUACGUGGUGUUUUCUCCAAAGGUAACUGCACGCCAACUGUCCAGAAGCAGUAGACAUUCUUGCCAGAAAUUAUUUGGUAGAUUGAAGCCUAGAGAUACCAAAUACCAACAGUCAUUAUUUUUUGGCUGACUAGAUUUUGGAGGGUUUUAUUUUCACCUCUGUAGUGUCUAUAUUCGCAAACCUUAUACAAAGAACAACAAUUAUUCUGUAAACAAACAAGUAAAUGUUUUAAAAGCUAUUUUUGAAAAGUCAUAACUCUGUGUCAGGGAAGGUGAGGUGUCACCUUCACUUCAAAAUAGCCGUGAAAACAACUAGAAUUUCCUACGUAUGCUUGUACAGGGCACUGAAAGCAAAAAAAGCUUUCUACUUCUCUAUCAUUUAAUUAAGAAUUCCUUUGGUGAUUUAUGAAGAUAGGUUUCAAGAUCAUCAUCUCUGACCCAGACCUUUAAAUGUCUUGCACCCUUAAUACGAAUCAAUAUCCCUAUCGUUAUACACGUGAUAAUAUAUGCAUGUCAAAUUAUCCCUUAUUUUUCACAGGAGUGCAUUUUCUAAAUUACUAACAGUUUUAUUUCUCACAAUCCAUGUUAUGCAGCAAUUUAAAAUACUGUUUAUCUAAUUUGUAAGCAGAUGCUACGUUUCAAAUCACUUCUAAAAGUGGCCUUCAGAUUUGUAUGAAAUAGGACUGAAAAAUAAUUUCAUGUCCAACUGAAGUAAUUUUUAAAAUACUUUAUCUUUUUAUUGCAAGAUAGUGCAUUUUAGUUUAACAAAUAUGACAAAGAAUAAGAGCAGAACUAUCACCUGGCAAUGCCACAUCUGGAGAGCUGUGAGCCUAUUGAAAUACACCCUACUUCAGUUCACACACACACACACACACACACACACACACACACUCACAUACGCACACGCAUAUGAAGAGUUGUAUAUACACAAAUACAAAACACGUCUGUUUAUUUACACAUAUGACUACAUAUCUU
rnacentral:lncRNA from 1 species